UUGGUUACAAUACUUAAAUGUAUUUAAUAUAAUUUUAUCUCGAAUGCAAUUUUAUUUUUCAAAAUCAGCACUAUUCCUCUUGGAACCGAAGAAUUUACAAAUCAAUGAGACUAGAAGUGGAAAGAAGAAAAAGAAAGGCAAAGAGACACACAGAAAUGCUACCUCACACGUUACUUCUACCUAGGCAGAGGAAAGCUCUCUUCACAAACCUCAUCUUCCCCUCUGCAAUUUUUUCUGGGGUAUUUUUCUUUCUCAAGUGGAGAGGGAAAAGGUUAACAUCUUAAACCAAACAAUCUGGGGGAAAUUCAAAAUCAUCAGUUGAGAAAUCAAAAUCCCCAAUUGGUGAAUUGGUGACUGAAGUUGGAGCUGAGAUUAUCUCAGUGAGACCAGAUUCUGAAGUCUGCACAUCAUGCGCUAGUCCGAAACUGCUCAUAUGGCACAUCCCACCCCUACCCCCACCCCCUUACCCAUCUCUUCCUUCCCGUCCGUCUGUCCCCACCCUUACCCAUCUCUCCCACUCUUCUUCUUCCUCCACACCAACCCCAACACACUCCCUGACACCCUUUUCUCAAUUCCCUCCUUCCCUCUCCCUCUCUAGGGUUUUAACUUCGAAUUCCACCCCUCUCCCGCCUCUUCCCCCGCCACUCUCCGCCUCCCGCCUCCACGCGUCUCCUUCCCCCAAAACCCAUAUCCCCCUCCACCUUUCCCACCUCAAAGCCCCGCAACCCAAAUACCUGCAACCCACUACUUGCAAAACCACAACCCACAAUCGUCGCCGAGGGGGGGUCGCGGGAGCUUAUCGUCGACGGGAAGGGCAGAGGAAGGCAGGUGGGUCAUCGCGGGGGGUGGGGAGGGAAGGCAAGUGGGUCAUCCGGGGGGGGUGGGGGGAACGGACGGGUUUGGUUUCUUCUUUUGGGGGAAGGGAUUUUGUAAAUAGGAGUUACAAAUAGAUGAGGGGGAAGGAAGGGACCUGGUUCGGGUAUUUUGGUUUUUAUUUUUUUAUUUUUUUUAUUUUUAAUAGGGUUAAUAUUAUAAUAUUGUUAAUGUAUAAAAAAAUUUAUUUUAUU
rnacentral:lncRNA from 1 species